GAUGAACGCUAGCGACAGGCUUAACACAUGCAAGUCGAGGGGCAGCAUGAACUUAGCUUGCUAAGUUUGAUGGCGACCGGCGCACGGGUGAGUAACGCGUAUGCAACUUACCUAUCAGAGGAGAAUAGCUCAUCGAAAGAUGAAUUAAUGCUCCAUAAAACAGGGGUCCCGCAUGGGAAUAUUUGUUAAAGAUUCAUCGCUGAUAGAUAGGCAUGCGUUCCAUUAGGCAGUUGGCGGGGUAACGGCCCACCAAACCGACGAUGGAUAGGGGUUCUGAGAGGAAGGUCCCCCACAUUGGUACUGAGGCACGGACCAAACUCCUACGGGAGGCAGCAGUGAGGAAUAUUGGUCAAUGGCCGAGAGGCUGAACCAGCCAAGUCGCGUGAAGGAAGAAUGAUCUAUGGUUUGUAAACUUCUUUUAUACGGGAAUAAAGUGUGGAACGCGUUCCAUUUUGUAUGUACCGUAUGAAUAAGCAUCGGCUAACUCCGUG
rnacentral:rRNA from 1 species